GACCUUCAAGGGGACGCAAAGGCAAAGCAACCCUCCAAAAUAAGAUUUCUUCUAUCUUUUGCACAGAGUGCCAGGGUACUGGUGUGGCUAUCCAAGGAGAAGAGCUUGAAAAACCAACAAUUCCCUUGUCUGAGAUGUUCCUAUAUAAACUGAAAGCAAUCGAAGCUAACAAGGCAUGGAUGAAGCAUCCUGAAAUUCUUCAGAAAUGCUCCACUGGACUUCAUUUCCCAUCUGAGCGUGUCAGCAAUUGUGACGAAAACGUGAAGCCUCUAAAGCUGCUGCAUUUCUUUCGGGUUGAUGGGUUGGAGAAAGCCCAAUAUA